rnacentral:tRNA from 1 species
GCCCCUAUGGCGGAAUUGGUAGACGCGUCAGACUCAAAAUCUGAUUCCUGUAUGGGAGUGGGAGUUCGAUUCUCUUUGGGGGCACCA